UACGUAGGGGGCCAGCGUUGUCCGGAAUCAUUGGGCGUAAAGCGCGCGUAGGCGGCCAGAUAAGUCCGGUGUGAAAGUCAAAGGCUCAACCUUUGAAUGCCGCUGGAAACUGCCUGGCUUGAGUCCGGAAGGGGCGAGUGGAAUUCCUGGUGUAGCGGUGAAAUGCGCAGAUAUCAGGAAGAACACCAAUGGCGAAGGCAGCUCUCUGGGACGGUACUGACGCUGAGACGCGAAAGCGUGGGGAGCGAACAGG
rnacentral:rRNA from 1 species